AGGAUGAACGCUGGCGGUCUGCUUAACACAUGCAAGUCGAACGGGCGUAGCAAUACGUUAGUGGCGGACGGGUGAGUAACGCGUGAGAAUCUACCUUCAGGACGGAGACAACAGUUGGAAACGACUGCUAACCCCCGAUGUACUGAAAAGGCAAAUAUUUAUAGCCUGAAGAAGAGCUCGCGUCCGAUUAGCUAGUUGGAGAGGUAAAAGCUCACCAAGGCGACGAUCGGUAGCUGGUCUGAGAGGACGAUCAGCCACACUGGGACUGAGACACGGCCCAGACUCCUACGGGAGGCAGCAGUGGGAAUUUUCCGCAAUGGGCGAAAGCCUGACGGAGCAAGACCGCGUGGGGGAAGAAGGCUCUUGGGUUGUAAACCCCUUUUCUCUGGGAAGAACGCAAUGACGGUACCAGAGGAAUCAGCAUCGGCUAACUCCGUGCCAGCAGCCGC
rnacentral:rRNA from 1 species